AGUGUAGCCUCACCAGCUUGAGAGCCAGGUUUUUGCGUUUUAAGAAAGAAGACCUUUUUUGAGUUGUAAGAAAAAAGACCUGGAAGAAAUGAGGUUGCUCCAUCUUGCCCAGAAAUGGAAGUUUUCAUUCAUGACAUUUUUAUCAAAAGAAAGGAAGGUCUGAACAUGUUGGGGGAUGUUUGAUACUACAGUUUUUGCAUGAAUCAGUAACUGGGUCAAGGGAAGCUUUGCCUCUUCAACUUGAAAUGCUGAUCUUUAUAGGAAUUUUUGCUACUGCAAGAAAUCUUAUAUAAGUGAGCAAGCCUUCCAUAACCAGAGAAUAUACUCAAAGCUAGUCCCUGCUCCUCUCAAUAUCCCUUUGUGAUCCGGUUUAUAUUUUCCUGUGCAAUAAAGACCCACUGUAUCAUCUUUAUAUCACAAGCAGGUGAAGUCCCUACUAGGUUGAGUGCCUAUGAAAAAAAAUUGUGUCUUACCAAUGCAUUUGAUUAAACCUGUAUUAGCUCUUAUUAUUUAUGUGGGUGUACCAAUCUGAAACCAAAUCUAAUUUCCCAGUAAUAAAUGGAUUAAUAAUGCUUGCACUGCACA
rnacentral:lncRNA from 10 species